rnacentral:rRNA from 1 species
AUUGAACGCUGGCGGCAGGCUUAACACAUGCAAGUCGAGCGGGGUGAUGGUGCUUGCACUAUCACUUAGCGGCGGACGGGUGAGUAAUGCUUAGGAAUCUGCCUAUUAGUGGGGGACAACAUCUCGAAAGGGAUGCUAAUACCGCAUACGUCCUACGGGAGAAAGCAGGGGAUCACUUGUGACCUUGCGCUAAUAGCUGAGCCUAAGUCGGAUUAGCUAGUUGGUGGGGUAAAGGCCUACCAAGGCGACGAUCUGUAGCGGGUCUGAGAGGAUGAACCGCCACACUGGGACUGAGAAACGGCCCAGACUCCUACGGGAGGCAGCAGUGGGGAAUAUUGGACAAUGGGGGGAACCCUGAUCCAGCCAUGCCGCGUGUGUGAAGAAGGCCUUAUGGUUGUAAAGCACUUUAAGCGAGGAGGAGGCUCUUUUGGUUAAUACCCAAGAUGAGUGGACGUUACUCGCAGAAUAAGCACCGGCUAACUCUGUGCCAGCCGCCGCAGUAA